rnacentral:tRNA from 1 species
CGAGACGUAGCUAUAAGAUAAAGCAUUCAGCUUACACCUGAAGGAUAUCUGACACACCAGAUCGUCUCGA